UACGGAGGGUGCAAGCGUUGUCCGGAUUUAUUGGGUUUAAAGGGUGCGUAGGUGGGCAGUUAAGUCAGUGGUGAAAUCUCCGGGCUCAACCCGGAAACUGCCAUUGAUACUAUCUGUCUUGAAUAUCGUGGAGGUAAGCGGAAUAUGUCAUGUAGCGGUGAAAUGCUUAGAUAUGACAUAGAACACCAAUUGCGAAGGCAGCUUACUACCCGAAUAUUGACACUGAGGCACGAAAGCGUGGGGAUCAAACAGG
rnacentral:rRNA from 1 species